UAUAUAUAUUUAUGGCUGUGUGUGUGUGUUCCAGCAUAACUCUGAAAUGCCUCAAGCAAGUUCAACCAAACUUGGUACAUAGAUGACUUACCCUCUGGAAACAAAUACUGUGGGGAUAAGACACUCCUAACACCCCUCAGGGUGUGUGUGUACCUUAA